UGAGCACAGACAAAGGAUCGCCUCCGUGUUAUCACAUGACUGUUGUGGUUGAUGGACAUGGUGGGGAGUGCAAUCCUGUAGUUGCACAGGGACUGGAUGAUGCAUUUGAUGAAGGGUCCGAACACAGAGUGCAUGCAAUGAAAUAAGAGCAAAUGAAAAAUACGUGCAAUGAAGGAUUAUCAGAUAAGAAGAUGGGGCUGGGGGAGGAUCCAACACUUGAUUUGAAAUUUACGAAGCCUGUGAGGUGACAUGGGACAUCAGACUGGCUCCAAAGAAACUAAUAUAUAAUUUCUCUACUAGCAUAGUAAAAAAACAACCAUCUUCCACUGUGAAGAGAGAAGUGCCUAUCCAAACGAGGUGGCUGUUAAUGUUAAUUCAAUAUUUAGAAGCAUGACCAACACGGACUGAACGGCUUCCUUCACUUCCUCCGCUUCCAUUGCUAAAGCAGCCUACAAUUCUAAAACAGUGUAGAAAACGACAGCCAAUCUGGUAGAAAUCCGACGAGAGAAAUUCAAGUGAACGGGAGAAAGGUGUGAAGCAGAUUUAAAUCAAGCGGAAUAGCACAGGAAGGCAAUGGCCAGGCUACUGAGAUAAACAGGCAGAUAUGGACACAUACAUUUUUUAAGCGUUCUUUUGCAGUUUACUAAUGUAAGUAAAAGAAAAAAAGCUAACCGGAAAGGGGAAAUAAACGUUGUAUUGUAUAACAGGAACAUUGUGCCUUAGGUUCCAUGCUGGCACUCUUAGCUCUAAAUGUGGAGAUAAAAUGCAGCCAAUUGCUCACAGUAUGAAGUCAUGAUGGAAAUGAAUGAUAGCAGCACAUUAGGCUGGUUAGACGAUGCAGCAGCUCAGCGUGUGUUCAGAGGAGCAGCGUGUUGAUCUGCUGAGCUUCUGGGAAGCUGAGUAGCAACUUCAGAGGACAAACA